CUGAGGUGACACUUUUUUUAAAAAAAUUGUAAAAAUUGCAUAGAAAGUGUCCAAAUAUUUAUCUUUAUUGAAAGAAUUUGUCUUCUGAUAUGCUGUGUGAGAGUUAAGGUGACCUUAAUGUACUUUGUACCUGACAUGAAUGUGUAGUUAAUGCAUGCCAAUGGGUGGUUUGGGUGAUUUAGAAUAACCAACUCAUCUCAAAAAUUUUUUACUUAUUAUCUUUCACUCAUAGAUUUUUUUUUUCCUUUUCUGUUCCAUUUUUAGUAACUCUUCUACAUAAAAAUUUUUUACUGGGCUGGGUGCGGUGGCUCACGCCUAUAAUCUCAGCACUUUGGGAGGCUGAGGUGGGUGGAUCACCUGAGGCCAGGAGUUUGAGACCAGCCUAGCCAACAUGCUGAAACCCGUCUCUACUAAAAAUACAAAAAUUAGCCAGGUGUGGUGGCAUAUGCCUGUAAUCCCAGCUACUCGGGAGGCUGAGGCAGGAGAAUCACUUGAACUUGGGAGGUAGGGGUUGCAGUGAGCCAAGAUUGUGCCACUGCACUCCAGCCUGGGCAAAAGAGUGAGACACCAUCUAAAUAAUAAUAAUAAUAAUAAUUUAUUGGCACAGGGCUGCUAAUUGUAGAAUUUUUGCUUUAGUGCUUCUGGAGGGUCUUGACAUUUACAUUGCCUGCUCUAUGCCAGGUGCUAUCUUUGACUCCUAACUUUUACAAUCUCAUUUAAUAUGUGAAGAGGUUAUAUAAAGGCUAAUGCUAAUUUAAAAAUAUGUAAGUGUUGUUUUAAAAUUUAACUUGACCUAGUAUGCUCUAGUAUCAGUACAGUUAAGACAGUUUAUAUCAAGCAUCUUUUCUUGCAAUAAGGAAAAUGAGUUAAUUUAUCUCAGUUAUAUAGAUUUAAAAAACAUAGACCAAUGUGAUAGAGGCACUUCGUACAAACUCCGAAAAAUAUUAUAUGUGAUUUAGUCACUUGUUAGUAGCCCUAUUUGCAUACUUAUUUGUUAGAAAUAAUGAAAAAGGAAAGACUGUUUACUUUGUUUAAACCUUCAUUUAAAAUAUUACAAUUUUGAAUUAAAACUUUUUGCAAUGUUUUGGAAAUUUUAUGCUGUAGCAAUCUAAACAUAAUGUGAAAAACAGGAAGAUUUCAUAUUAAAGUUUCUCCAUUUUCCUAAACCUAGGAUGGUAAGCGGAUGUUUGGCACCUAUUUUCGUGUUGGUUUUUAUGGAACCAAGUUCGGGGAUUUGGAUGAACAAGAAUUUGUUUACAAGGAGCCUGCAAUAACCAAACUUGCAGAGAUAUCUCACAGAUUGGAGGGAUUUUACGGAGAAAGAUUUGGAGAGGAUGUGGUUGAAGUAAUCAAAGACUCUAAUCCUGUAGACAAGUGUAAAUUAGAUCCUAACAAGGCAUAUAUUCAGAUUACCUAUGUGGAGCCAUACUUUGACACAUAUGAGAUGAAGGACAGAAUCACCUAUUUCGACAAAAAUUACAAUCUUCGUCGAUUCAUGUACUGUACACCCUUUACUUUAGAUGGCCGUGCCCAUGGGGAACUUCAUGAACAAUUCAAAAGGAAGACCAUUCUGACUACGUCUCAUGCCUUUCCUUAUAUUAAAACAAGGGUCAAUGUCACUCAUAAAGAAGAGAUCAUCUUAACACCAAUUGAAGUUGCUAUUGAGGACAUGCAGAAAAAGACACAGGAGUUGGCAUUUGCAACACAUCAGGAUCCCGCAGACCCCAAAAUGCUUCAGAUGGUACUCCAGGGAUCUGUAGGCACAACAGUGAAUCAGGGGCCUUUGGAAGUUGCCCAGGUUUUUCUGUCUGAAAUACCUAGUGACCCAAAGCUCUUCAGACAUCAUAAUAAACUGC
rnacentral:sRNA from 1 species